GGGUGAGUAAUACAUCGGAACGUGUCCGUUUGUGGGGGACAACCGUCCGAAAGGAUGGCUAAUACCGCAUAAGACUUGAGGGUGAAAGCCGGGGACCGCAAGGCCCGGCGCAGACGGAGCGGCCGAUGAUUGAUUAGCUAGUUGGGGAGGUAAAGGCUCACCAAGGCGACGAUCAAUAGCUGGUCUGAGAGGACGACCAGCCACACUGGAACUGAGACACGGUCCAGACUCCUACGGGAGGCAGCAGUGGGGAAUUUUGGACAAUGGGGGCAACCCUGAUCCAGCCAUGUCGCGUGCGGGAAGAAGGCCUUCGGGUUGUAAACCGCUUUUGUCAGGGACGAAAAGCUCCGGGGUAAUAUGCCGGAGUGCUGACGGUACCUGAAGAAUAAGCACCGGCUAACUACGUGCCAGCAGCCGCGGUAAUACGUAGGGUGCGAGCGUUAAUCGGAAUUACUGGGCGUAAAGCGUGCGCAGGCGGUUGGGUAAGACAGAUGUGAAAUCCCCGGGCUUAACCUGGGAACUGCAUUUGUGACUGUCCGACUGGAGUACGUCAGAGGGGGGUGGAAUUCCACGUGUAGCAGUGAAAUGCGUAGAUAUGUGGAAGAACACCGAUGGCGAAGGCAGCCCCCUGGGACGCAACUGACGCUCAUGCACGAAAGCGUGGGGAGCAAACAGGAUUAGAUACCCUGGUAGUCCACGCCCUAAACGAUGUCUGCUGGUUGUUGGGAAUUU
rnacentral:rRNA from 1 species